GUGCUUCUCCUUGGCCGGCGCCGGUCCGGUCGUCUGUGACGCAGCUGCAGGCCAGAGCUCCACCUCCAGCUCCCAGCGCCAUGGAGGCGUGUGUUCUGCGUAGGCCCUGCCUCUUGCACCCCUCCCACCCCUCCCGGUGCGGAGUGGCGUCCAGAGCAGGCAGGGCCGGCUGCGGGAUGCCUCACGCAACACAGCUGUACCAGCAUGUACCAGAGAAACGCUGGCCCAUCGUGUACUCACCACGUUACAACAUCACCUUCAUGGGCCUGGAGAAGCUGCACCCCUUUGAUGCUGGGAAAUGGGGCAAGGUGAUCAACUUCCUGAAAGAAGAGAAGCUGCUGUCCGAUGGCAUGCUGGUGGAGGCUCGGGAGGCCUCGGAGGAGGACCUGCUGGUGGUGCACACGAGGCGCUAUCUCAACGAGCUGAAGUGGUCCUUUGUGGUGGCUACCAUCACUGAGAUCCCCCCGGUCAUCUUUCUUCCCAACUUCCUUGUGCAGAGGAAGGUGCUGAGGCCCCUGCGGACCCAGACUGGAGGCACCAUCAUGGCAGGGAAGCUGGCUGUGGAGCGAGGCUGGGCCAUCAAUGUUGGCCCCACGGGUACCUCUAUCUGCUGUGAGAUAUUUGUUGUGAGAAUGUCCCUGCCCAACAUUUACAUAUUUCCAAUGACAGGGAGUUCUCUUCCACCCAGAGAGCCUGUGCCGUCCCUCAGGUGGUGGCUUCCACCACUGCUCCAGUGACCGUGGUGGGGGCUUCUGUGCCUAUGCAGACAUCACACUGGCUAUCAAGUUCCUGUUUGAACGCGUGGAAGGCAUCUCCAGAGCCACCAUCAUUGAUCUCGAUGCCCACCAGGGCAAUGGGCAUGAGCGAGACUUCAUGGGUGACAAGCGAGUAUACAUCAUGGAUGUUUACAACCGCCACAUCUACCCUGGGGAUCGCUUUGCUAAAGAGGCCAUCAGGCGGAAGGUGGAAUUGGAGUGGGGCACAGAAGAUGAGGAAUAUCUGGAGAAGGUGGAGAGGAAUGUCAGGAGGUCCCUCCAGGAGCACCUGCCUGACGUGGUGGUGUACAACGCUGGCACGGACGUGCUGGAGGGAGACCGCCUCGGGGGGCUGUCCAUCAGCCCAGCGGGCAUUGUGAAGAGGGAUGAAGUGGUUUUCCGCGUGGUCCGAGCCCAUGAUAUACCCAUCCUCAUGGUGACCUCGGGUGGGUACCAGAAGCGCACAGCCCGUAUUAUCGCCGACUCCAUCCUCAACUUGCAUGACCUGGGGCUCAUUGGGCCUGAGUUUCCCUGCGUCUCGGCACAGAACUCGGGCAUCCCCCUGCUUUCCUGUGCUGUGCCUUGACGGCUACUCACAGAACAUUGUCAUACCUGCCCCCCCACCCCAUCCACCCGCCCACCCGCCUGUGUUUGUUGCUGUGAAGACAGCUGCCAGUGAGUGUGGAGGGGCAGGAAGAGCAGGAGCCAGCCUUGCUGGCCACUCCUCCACUCCCCACCAGGUGCCCAAGGGUCUCUGGGCCUUUGGGGUGGAAGAGCUGAGUCCCAGGGAGGAGCCCAUGUGGGAAGCAGGCAGGCCAUCAAGAGUCAGGGAGGACAGCUUAGCUCCAGCCACAGGGAGGGGCCUCUGGAGUAGAGUCGUUUGCUGUUCAUAUCAGCAGAAGAAGGGCCCUCCCCGACCUGGUUGGCUUACUUCCUCACUUUAGUCUGGAGAGGUCCCCUCCUGGACGUUGGUGCCUGUGGGUCUGAGGAGUUUCCAUAGCCAGCCUCCAGGGGGCACUGGGUUCUCAGCUAACAGGUAGUAGUCCUGGUAUGGAUUGGGAGGCCUAAGGAAGAAGGAAGCUGGGAUUCUCCAGUUUGGGUUCCCCUCAAUAAGUCAAGGUCCAGACAGACCUGUUUUUCCAAGCUCCCCCUAUGAUGAUGGGGUUGAACACUGAGGAUGCCCAAGGCCCCCAACUUAUCUCCUCUGUUCAGCAUGAAAACACGUUUGGGAUGAGUGUUUAGCUCAGGAGUGACCCUCCAAACUGGAGUUUUUAAGGGGCUGCUGACCAGGAUGGAGAGAAGGCAAGGCCCUGCAGAUAGAAAUGAGAUGGAGGCUGGUGGCCAAGCUAGUCCUAGGUGGGGCUUGCUAGAGGGAGGGCAGCGAAGGUAACAUCUAGGUACAGUGGCCCCACAGACCUUGAGUGAGCUACAAUCUCCAUUGGGCUCACCCAAAGUGCCCAAUUUUCAUCUUUGUCUGUGGCCCCAAGGUCUACCUGCCCUCUGGCCAUUUGACCCUGAAGGGACAGCCAGGGCCCUCCGUGACGUAGGCAGGAAAGCAGCCACCCCUAGCCAGAGAUUGGCAGCAUAACCAAGGGCACAGGGGUAAGAGGAUGUGGGCCAGCUGGGUUUCCUCCUGCCCUGGAUCUGCUCCAACUACAGGACUCAUAUUCAUUACCAUGUGGGGGUAUUCCCACAGCCUUCAUAGUGUCCUUCAUACUCCCUCUGCUGGAGUCGGGAGGAUGCCAGAGUCACCAGUUGUCUAAACCACUGACCUGGACCAGACCCCACAGUACUAAUAGUGCAGCACCACACCCCUCUGUCAUGGCCUCUUUGCCUCUGACUGGAGGUACCUCCCAGGACAUUGGGGAGUGGUGACAGCACAGUUUGUCAUUGUGGAGUUUGUCUGAGUGCCAUUCAGGCUCCAGGUUGUUGCUGUGUGUUCUGAGGUAGACAGACCUGCCUCCUGAGGACCACUGGAAAUAAAGAUUCAAAAUUCACCAAUCCAGACACUUAA